AAUGUUUCUCAGUGCGUUUCUCUCUUUCCUUCUCGUUUCUUUUCUUCCUUCAUCUCACCCAGGAGGCCAGGACUUCAAAAUUUCAGAGAAACACUUUUUCUCUCUUCAAAUUUCUUUUCUCUUCUUGAGUAUCAGGAACAUGGAUCAAAGAUUUUCGACUUUGGAGAGAGAAUCAACGCCGAGAAGACCCAACUGCUCCAGUGACUUCGUGGCGGUUUCCGGCCAUCGAUUGACUUGCAUGAGGUAGGAAAUUAAUCCUCUUGUCGUGCUCUACCUCGUACUAUCAUUAGGUUUUUGAUUUUGCUGGAGUUUUGAACAAUUGGUGUUUUGGGUAUGACGUCAGUCGCCGUGUUCGUGAUUUCCGGCGGCUUAAUACCAAAAUAGAAUCAGAAACUUUACGAAUGGAGAAUAGAAAUUGAAUGAUAGUUUGUCAAACAACCCAAGGCCACCAAGCAUGAAUAUAUUGAUCGAAAGCAUUUACUGGUGCAUAGGCUGGUAUAAAUUGAAUGGGUUGUGAAGUUUGGAGGUGGGUCAAAUAGUGAUUGGGUGCCCUUAGUUUUUGCAGGUAUUUGAUCAAAUGCCUCACUCAGCUCUUUUGAUUUUUCAGAUUUUGUUUUGUGGUUCUGUUGUGCAGACUGUGAUUGAUAGAAUGUAAACAAAAUGAGUGUUUUGAGAGAAUUUCUUGUGUAUUUCUUCUCUGAGUUCAAUAUCACAUUUACAUUAGGAGCAUAAGGUUGUGCUUUGACACUGAUGGUUUGCUUACAAUGGACGAUAAAUCUCAUAUUCAAAUCCCAAAUGUUGUAUAGCCAAGUCAGGGCUUGGAGUUUGGUACAUUGGUCUAUUGAAUGGCCAUCUUCCCCGAAUAGAUGUUCCCCUAAAGUUGUAUGCGAAAUCAAUAGCUAUUGUGUCAGAAUGGGGGCAACAAUUGACUGUAGAUGUCUUCCUAGAUUCAAAUCUGUCAACCCAGGAAAUCAGGCUUGAGGUUGUGAGAGAAAUUCUUCUGUUGGAGAUGUUUGCAAAUCAAAGAAUUGGAAUUGCAACUACACCAUGCAAGAACUGGGCUGCACCGCGUGGGGGGAUGAGCCAUAUAUGGCUCUGUCAUCUUCAGGUAAAGAAGAUUGCAAACAAGCCUGUUUUGAGGAUUUGAACUGUCAGGCUGCAGUUUUUGACGGUUCAAGCUGCAGAAAGCAGAGGCUUCCUUUGAGAUAUGGAAGAAGAGAUUCAGAUACUUCAAACAUAGUUCUCGUGAAGGAGGCUGUCAUGAUUUCUGCAACUCCAGCUCCAGGCACAGUUGUUCCAAAAUAAUAGAAUUAUAUAUAUUAAAAUAAUAUUCAAAUUUGACAUCUCCAUUGGAGCUAAAAUGAGUCAUAAUGUUACCAUGUCAA